GGAAGUUCAGAGAAGCGACGGUAUCGCCACUGUUUUAGUGUCUAGUUCGUUCGUGCUAAUGCUAACCGCUCACUGUAGUCCAGAAAUUACUAUACAUUUAAUGUUUCUGGAGUCUGUCUGUGACCGAUAUACGUACUCUUGCAUCUUGUUUAUCUUGGUGAAGUCCAUCUGGAAUGACUUAAAGUAGCAUUAGCUUUAGCUUUAAGUUACGCUAGGUAGGUCUAGUCGUUACGCAGUUAAACCAGCGAAUGUUUGCGUCUCUCCAAAACAUGUACAAUAGUUCUUUGGUAGUUGGUAUAUCCUUGGCCUGUUCUGCAUAACACGCAUUCCCUUCACAACGUCUCUAACCCAUUUAAAUUCAAGUUUCCCCUUAUACAUGUGUGUAUUCAUCUUCAUUCACCUCUAGUGAUUUAAUGUUAUCUUUCUGGAUUCAAAACACGAAAAUAGAAAGCCCAAUAACUUCUCUUUUCAUAAAUAUACAUUAUCACUUUUCGUUCACAAACAUUCGGUUUUGCUCUGAAAGUAUUGUACCAAUGUGGUAGUACAACUUAAACUACAAUGAUAGACCAUAAUAUCCAUGGGGGAAAAAACUAGAUUAAACAACAAGUAAGAAAAAUAACUGAUAUACCUGCAUGAGGUUUUUGAUAAAUAAAACAUGUACUGUGAUAAUGCAUCUUAAAAAUCGUCUUAUAUCAGUUAGUGAAUAACUUUCACAAUGACAAAAGUCCACCUACUUUUAGUCUUUGUUUUUGUGGCCCAGACAUGGUCAGAUGCUUUUGACGUUUGCCAGAGCGCCUCUGAAGCUCACUGCGCUCCUGACGACACUUGACACUAGAAAAUCUAGAUGGAACGCAAGUGCUGAGAAACUCAUACAGAACCUGGAGAACUUCCGAGUCUCCUGCGAGAAGCUCAUCGAUGCCUUCCCGCUUGAUGCCAUUGAUAGGAACUUUGUGCGAAUUGUGAAGAACUGUAUUUUCUCUCGGUCCACUCCGACCCCGCUGAGAGGUCCUGUGAGGCUGGCUGCGGUUUCUCAGGAUGCCGUUGAACAGAUCCUGGAUUUGGACAUGAACGUCACCCACUCUGAGGAUUUUCUCAGCUUUGUCAGUGGUAGCAAACUUCCACGAGGAUCUGAACCCUUGGCACACAGAUAUGGUGGCCAUCAGUUUGGCUACUGGGCCGGUCAGCUUGGCGACGGAAGAGCACAUUUCCUUGGUCAGUACAGCAACAGGAAGGGGGAAGUGUGGGAGCUACAACUGAAAGGCUCUGGGAAAACUCCAUAUUCAAGGUCUGGAGAUGGUCGAGCUGUGAUCCGCUCUUCUGUCAGGGAGUUCUUGUGCAGCGAAGCCAUGCACUUCCUCGGUGUCCCCACCAGCAGGGCGGCCAGUCUUGUUGUCAGCGAGGAGCCCGUCCUCAGGGACCAGUUCUACGACGGCAGAGUGAAGACUGAAAAGGGAGCCGUCGUCCUCCGCUUAGCAAAGUCCUGGUUUCGCUUCGGCUCCUUGGAGAUCCUGGCUCAGAGUGGAGAGAUUGAUCUUCUCAGGAAACUUGUUGAUUUCGUGAUAGUUGAGCAUUUUCCCCUCAUUGACGCCGAAGAUCCAGAUAAAUAUUUAGUGUUUUAUUCUGUAGUCGUAAACCAGACGGCUCAUCUGAUCGCGCAGUGGAUGUCGCUCGGCUUUGCUCACGGGGUCUGCAACACCGACAACUUCAGUCUCCUAUCCAUCACAAUUGACUACGGCCCGUUCGGCUUCAUGGAGGAAUACGAUCCCGAUUUUGUGCCGAACACGUCCGAUGACGAGGGCAGAUACAAGAUCGGAGCUCAGGCCGGCGUGGGACUCUUCAACUUGGAGAAGCUUCUGCAGGCCGUCAGCCACAUGCUGACCAGAGAGCAGCAGAUACUGGCUGGAAAAGCGUUGAAGGCUUUCAGUGAUAUUUACCAGGCGAGGAUCCACCAGUUGUUCACAGCAAAGCUGGGACUCCAGGGAGAGAUGGAGGAGGAUGGACAUGUCAUUGCCUUCCUGCUGAAGGUGAUGGAAGAGACCAAGUCGGACUUCACCAUGACGUUCAGGCAGCUGAGUGAAGUCACAGUGCAGCAGCUUCACAACAGGGACUUUGCUGAGAGCUGGGCUCUGCAGGACUUGUCGUCGCACCCGCGCUUCUCCGACUGGCUGGACUUGUAUUUGCGCCGACUCAGCAGACAACCGACAGAUACCGAUGUGAAACGACGACAGCGGAUGAGAAGUGUGAAUCCUCGGUACGUGCUGCGGAACUGGAUGGCCGAGUCGGCGAUAAAGAAAGCUGAGAUGAGUGAUUUCUCGGAGGUGGCGGUGCUGCAUCACGUCCUGUCGUCGCCCUUCCUCACACAAGGAUCCGCAGAGGAGGCGGGGUACGCGGCCAGGCCCCCAUCGUGGUCAAAGAAGCUUAAGACUAAAACAGUGCUGUUCGAUACACAUUAUACACAGGCCGUCUUUUGUGGUGAAACAAUUACAAAACCGAACCAAAAAGUAAAAUAUGCUCAGGUUUUAUUUAAUUUUUCAGGAACUAUUUACAUGAAAAUGUGUCAAUAUAUACAUUAAAUUAUAUAUUGUUGCGCUGUAUCUGUAUUUUUGGUUUGGUGUCACAUGAUAUAUUCACCAGAGUGAGAUGUCCAGUUGACAAGACACAAUAUCCAGUUAUAGUUCUUAGAAGUGUAGAUCCCAGCCACCAAGUUAGCACACACACAUGAGUAAACAUCCAGGGUUAGUUAGUCUCAGGUCAGCGGGAACAUCCACAUGACGGCUGGUGUCGUGUUCUUGGAUCAAGGAAUUGAGCUGAGCUAGAAGGCUCCCUUAGAAAUAAGACGGCCAGGAUCCUCAUCUAUCAAAGGUGCGUACAGUGUGCACUUUUCCACUGCAAAGUCUGUAUAUUUAUCAAACUUGAACAAGUCAAUGAAACAUGCUGCUUCACGCUGACUUGAGGCUGUUUAGUUUUUGCUUGUUUUUGCAGCUGUUGGUCCAAUAGCGGCGCUUAGUGGCGGUGCCUCGAUGUGCACAUUAGGGACACAUGAACACUUUAAUACAAGAACCAGGUUUCCUCAGUCACCCACAGAUUCAUGGUGGCGGCGUCGUCACAGCACAGGUACUUGAUGUACUGAGAGUCCUUCUGGAUCUGAGGGUGCUGAGGAGACACCAGAACACGACAGAUUCAGACUUCUUUCAGUCACCCUCUGAUCCUGCUCCCUCCAGAACCACUUCUGAUGAGCGCCGUGUUUAUUCUGUCGCCGUAAAAGAUGUCACUCUCUCGUGACCUCUGACCUUAGUCUUCCCUUUGGGGACAAAGUAAAUUCCCGAGGCUCUGAGCUGGAAGAGUCGCUGCUUCCACGACUUCUUGCCGUCCUCUCGGAGGUGCAGGACUCCCUCCAGGUCGGGCACGAUGAUGGAGGAGCCGCAGAAGUUUUCCUGCGGUGGUGAGAGGGAAGGGUGAGGCCAGGCUGAGGCGCCAGUCGUCGCUGUGUGUGACCCCACUGACCUUUAUUAAUAUCUCUUUGUCCAUGUCCUUAAUGUCUUUGAGCGUUUUCUUGUCCUUCUUCCACAGGUAGAAGGUCUGCAGGGAGGAAAUAUUGACAUGACUCCAGUCAGUUAAUAUGAGAUCUUGAGCUGUUCAGAAGGCUCGAAACUCAGCGGCCAUGUUUGAAAGCAGCCACACCAGACCUGCAGCUGUUAGAGCUGAUGACUGCAGAAAU